AAUGGGCGCAAGCCUGAUCCAGCCAUGCCGCGUGAGUGAUGAAGGCCUUAGGGUUGUAAAGCUCUUUUAGCAGGGAAGAUAAUGACUGUACCUGCAGAAUAAGCUCCGGCUAACUUCGUGCCAGCAGCCGCGGUAAUACGAAGGGAGCUAGCGUUGUUCGGAAUCACUGGGCGUAAAGCGCACGUAGGCGGAUUUGUUAGUGAGGGGUGAAAUCCCGGGGCUCAACCUCGGAACUGCCUUUCAUACUGCAGAUCUCGAGUCCGAUAGAGGUGGGUGGAAUUCCUAGUGUAGAGGUGAAAUUCGUAGAUAUUAGGAAGAACACCGGUGGCGAAGGCGGCCCACUGGAUCGGUACUGACGCUGAGGUGCGAAAGCGUGGGGAGCAAA
rnacentral:rRNA from 1 species